GGCGUCGAGCGGCGGACGGGUGAGUAAUGCCUAGGAAAUUGCCUUGAUGUGGGGGAUAACCAUUGGAAACGAUGGCUAAUACCGCAUAAUGCCUACGGGCCAAAGAGGGGGACCUUCGGGCCUCUCGCGUCAAGAUAUGCCUAGGUGGGAUUAGCUAGUUGGUGAGGUAAUGGCUCACCAAGGCGACGAUCCCUAGCUGGUCUGAGAGGAUGAUCAGCCACACUGGAACUGAGACACGGUCCAGACUCCUACGGGAGGCAGCAGUGGGGAAUAUUGCACAAUGGGCGAAAGCCUGAUGCAGCCAUGCCGCGUGUAUGAAGAAGGCCUUCGGGUUGUAAAGUACUUUCAGUUGUGAGGAAGGCGGUACAGUUAAUAGCUGUAUCUCUUGACGUUAGCAACAGAAGAAGCACCGGCUAACUCCGUGCCAGCAG
rnacentral:rRNA from 1 species